rnacentral:rRNA from 1 species
AUACGUAGGUGGCAAGCGUUGUCCGGAAUUAUUGGGUGUAAAGCGCAUGUAGGCGGUUUGGUAAGUCGGUCGUGAAAAUGCGGGGCUUAACGCCGUAUGGCGAUUGAAACUGCUGAACUUGAGUGCAGGAGAGGAAAGGGGAACUCCCAGUGUAGCGGUGAAAUGCGUAGAUAUUGGGAAGAACACCGGUGGCGAAGGCGCCUUUCUGGACUGUGUCUGACGCUCAGAUGCGAAAGCCAGGGUAGCGAACGGGAUUAGAUACCCCGGUAGUCCUGGCCGUAAACGAUGGGUACUAGGUGUGGGAGGUAUCGACUCCUUCCGUGCCGGAGUUAACGCAAUAAGUACCCCGCCUGGGGAGUACGGCCGCAAGGCUUAAACUCAAAGGAAUUGGCGGGG